AGUGAACGCUGGCGGUAGGCCUAACACAUGCAAGUCGAACGGCAGCACAGUAAGAGCUUGCUCUUACGGGUGGCGAGUGGCGGACGGGUGAGGAAUACAUCGGAAUCUACUUUUUCGUGGGGGAUAACGUAGGGAAACUUACGCUAAUACCGCAUACGACCUACGGGUGAAAGCAGGGGAUCUUCGGACCUUGCGCGAUUGAAUGAGCCGAUGUCGGAUUAGCUAGUUGGCGGGGUAAAGGCCCACCAAGGCGACGAUCCGUGGCUGGUCUGAGAGGAUGAUCAGCCACACUGGAACUGAGACACGGUCCAGACGCCUACGGGAGGCAGCAGUGGGGAAUAUUGGACAAUGGGCGCAAGCCUGAUCCAGCCAUACCGCGUGGGUGAAGAAGGCCUUCGGGUUGUAAAGCCCUUUUGUUGGGAAAGAAAAGCAGCAGGUUAAUACCCCGCUGUUCUGACGGUACCCAAAGAAUAAGCACCGGCUAACUUCGU
rnacentral:rRNA from 1 species